rnacentral:lncRNA from 1 species
AAAAGAAAACUGGACAACUACAAGGCAAAGUAUGGGACAGCAACAAUAAAUAUUUGUGACGAAAGGUGGAAGAUGCCUCAGCGGAUAAUUGCAACUCGACCUGGUACGGCUGGUUCAGCUGAAGUUUUUGUGAGAUGGACUGGCCUUCCGCAGGUGUUGAUAAUGAAAAGGAGCUCGACGUGGUACGGCUGGUUCAGCUGAAGUUUUUGUGAGAUGGACUGGCCUUCCUUAUGAUGAAUGUACCUGGGAAAAAAUAGAGGAACCUGUGAUUGCAAAAUCAUCUCAUUUGAUUGAUCAAUUCAAUCAGUUUGAAUCCCAAGCACUGAC